GCCCAAGCACGUGGUUGGCAAGUCCUCGGGUACGCAAGGCUAAAGCAUGAGAAGGACAGAGCCCUUCCUCGGCAAGCUAGUCUUAGGCAGAGAAGCAAGUAAAAAUAACAUUGGAUAUAAAUAUUAAAGCUUGGGCAAAACAAGUUGAUAAAUAACACUGGCAAUAACAAGGGAAGCUAACAUAAAAAGUACUAAGGCGCCUCGCGCCGCUCUCAUGAAAACACAAAGAAAAAGAAAAGGAAACGAACUACGCGGG
rnacentral:lncRNA from 1 species